rnacentral:rRNA from 1 species
AUACGGAGGGUCCGAGCGUUAUCCGGAUUUAUUGGGUUUAAAGGGAGCGUAGGCGGAUGUUUAAGUCAGUUGUGAAAGUUUAAGGCUCAACCUUGAAAUUGCAGUUGAUACUGGACGUCUUGAGUGCAUUAACUGUGGGCGGAAUUCGUGGUGUAGCGGUGAAAUGCUUAGAUAUUACACAGAACUCCGAUUGCGAAGGCAACUCACAAGACUGUAACUGACGCUGAUGCUCGAAAGUGUGGGGAUCAAACAGGAUUAGAUACCCUGGUAGUCCACACAGUAAACGAUGAAUACUCGCUGUCUGCGAUAGACAGUAAGCGGCCAAGCGAAAGCGUUAAGUAUUCCACCUGGGGAGUACGCCCGCAACGGUGA